CCUGUACUUGGUGUUACUGCGAAGGGGGGACGGAGAAGGCUAUGUCAGCCGGGCGACGGUUGUCCCGGUUUAAGCAUGUAGGCGGAGGUUCCAGGUAAAUCCGGUACCUUAUUAACGCUGAGGUGUGAUGACGAGGCACUACGGUGCUGAAGUGAUAAAUGCCCUGCUUCCAGGAAAAGCCUCUAAGCAUCAGGUAACACGAAAUCGUACCCCAAACCGACACAGGUGGUCAGGUAGAGAAUACCAAGGCGCUUGAGAGAACUCGGGUGAAGGAACUAGGCAAAAUGGUGCCGUAACUUCGGGAGAAGGCACGCUGAUAUGUAGGUGAAGUCCCUGCGGACGGAGCUGAAAUCAGUCGAAGAUACCAGCUGGCUGCAACUGUUUAUUAAAAACACAGCACUGUGCAAACACGAAAGUGGACGUAUACGGUGUGACGCCUGCCCGGUGCCGGAAGGUUAAUUGAUGGGGUUAGCGGCAACGCGAAGCUCUUGAUCGAAGCCCCGGUAAACGGCGGCCGUAACUAUAACGGUCCUAAGGUAGCGAAAUUCCUUGUCGGGUAAGUUCCGACCUGCACGAAUGGCGUAAUGAUGGCCAGGCUGUCUCCACCCGAGACUCAGUGAAAUUGAACUCGCUGUGAAGAUGCAGUGUACCCGCGGCAAGACGGAAAGACCCCGUGAACCUUUACUAUAGCUUGACACUGAACACUGGUCCUUGAUGUGUAGGAUAGGUGGGAGGCUUUGAAGCGUGGACGCCAGUCUGCGUGGAGCCAACCUUGAAAUACCACCCUUUAAUGGCUGGUGUUCUAACGUAGACCCGUAAUCCGGGUUGCGGACAGUGUCUGGUGGGUAGUUUGACUGGGGCGGUCUCCUCCCAAAGAGUAACGGAGGAGCACGAAGGUUGGCUAAUCCUGGUCGGACAUCAGGAGGUUAGUGCAAUGGCAUAAGCCAGCUUGACUGCGAGCGUGACGGCGCGAGCAGGUGCGAAAGCAGGUCAUAGUGAUCCGGUGGUUCUGAAUGGAAGGGCCAUCGCUCAACGGAUAAAAGGUACUCCGGGGAUAACAGGCUGAUACCGCCCAAGAGUUCAUAUCGACGGCGGUGUUUGGCACCUCGAUGUCGGCUCAUCACAUCCUGGGGCUGAAGUAGGUCCCAAGGGUAUGGCUGUUCGCCAUUUAAAGUGGUACGCGAGCUGGGUUUAGAACGUCGUGAGACAGUUCGGUCCCUAUCUGCCGUGGGCGCUGGAGAAUUGAGGGGGGCUGCUCCUAGUACGAGAGGACCGGAGUGGACGCAUCACUGGUGUUCGGGUUGUCAUGCCAAUGGCACUGCCCGGUAGCUAAAUGCGGAAGAGAUAAGUGCUGAAAGCAUCUAAGCACGAAACUUGCCCCGAGAUGAGUUCUCCCUGAGACUUUAAGUCUCCUGAAGGAACGUUGAAGACGACGACGUUGAUAGGUCGGGUGUGUAAGCGCAGCGAUGCGUUGAGCUAACCGAUACUAAUGAACCGUGAGGCUUAACCUU
rnacentral:rRNA from 1 species